rnacentral:rRNA from 1 species
GGUUACCUUGUUACGACUUCACCCCAGUCGCUGACUAUACCGUGGUCAAGGGUUUUAAACCUUGCCUUAAGGUAGAACCAACUCCCAUGGUGUGACGGGCGGUGUGUUCUAGACCCGGGAACGCAUUCACCGUGGCACGCUGAUCCACGAUUACUAGUAAUUCCAGCUUCAUGCACUCGAGUUGCAGAAUGCGAUCCGAACUGAGGUAUCUUUUAAGGAUUUGCUUGACCUCGCACUCUUGCUUCCUGUUGUAAAUACCAUUGUAGCACGUGUGUUUCCCAACACGUAAGGGGCCGUGAGGACUUGACGUCAUCCCCACCUUCCUCCAGCUUAUCACUGGCAGUUCUUUCAGAGUGCCCAGCUUAAUGAUGGCAACUCAAAUUGAGGGUUGCGCUCGUUGCGGGACUUAACCCAC